GUGAAAUGUGAAAAUAAAUAGAUAAUGCAAUUAAUUUUCGAGUAUAUUAAGAUAAAAUUAGGCGUUAGUUACGAUGAAUACACAAGCUCCUCGUAAUAUAAAUGUAAAGCAACUAUUAAAAUACAAAGUUUUUAUCCUCAAAAUAAUUCAAUUUACAACCUCCUUUUUUAUAUUGGUGAUUUUACCAAACAUACUGAAUCCCCCGUCAGGGCAUAUGUACUGUAUAUCAACUGGCCCCACUUUAAUUAUAUCACUUUUAUUUAUAGAAUUGUACAUUUUUAAAAGAGUACCUUUAUUUAUGGAAAAAAUGUACCUUUUCUUUCAAAUAUGGUUUACGUUUGGAGCGUUUGUUCAGUGUUUUCUUUUAAAUCUAACUCGGAUGUGGACGUUUUUGUUCUACGGCGCAUGUUACUUGUUUUUAUUGGCGGUUUUGGUACUGGAUUUAGUCCUGAUUGCUAAUGAAAGAGGAUGCACAAUAAAUAUUGC